AAGGCUCCAGCCACGGAGCAGGACUGGACGCCGUGCCUGGACUGGACAUCGGCGCAGAGGAAGGCUCCUGCCAUGGAGCGGGACUGGACGCCGUGCCUGGACGCCGUGCCUGGACUGGGCACCGGCGCAGAGGAAGACUCCGGCCUUGGAGCUGGACUGGACGCCGUGCCUGGACUGGGCACCGGCGCAGAGGAAGACUCCGGCCUUGGAGCUGGACUGGACACCGUGCCUGGACUGGGCACCGGCGCAAAGGAGGGCUCCGGCCUGUGGACUGUCGUAGGAGGUUCCGGACUGUGGACCGUCGUAGGAGGUUCCGGACUGUGGACCGUCGUAGGAGGUUCCGGACUGUGGACCGUCGCAGGAGGUUCCGGACUGUGGACCGUCGCAGGAGGUUCCGGACUGUGGACCGUCGCAGGAGGUUCCGGGCUGUGGACCGUCGCAGGAGGUUCCGGGCUGUGGACCGUCGCAGGAGGUUCCGGGCUGUGGACCGUCGCAGGAGGUUCCGGACUGUGAACCGUCGCAGGAGGUUCCGGACUGUGAACCGUCGCCGGAAGCUCCGGACUGGGGACCGUCGCCGGAAGCUCUGGACUGGGGACCGUCGCCAGAAGCUCUGGACUUUGAAUGCGCACUGGAGGCCCAUUGCGCAGAGCCAGUGCAGAGAGCACCGGACUGGUGACACGCACUUCAGGACGAGUGCGGGGAGCAGGCACAGGACGUACCGGACUGGGGAAGCGCACUGGACUGGGGAGGUGCACUGGAGGCCUGAUGCCACAGAAACAAGAUCCCACAAAACACAGUGGGGAAAUGGCUGCCUAUCAGAGGCAGCUGUUUAUCGUUGUCUCUGGUUGGGGAUCAUAUUUAGGCAGCCAUUUCCCCACUGUGUUUUGUGGGAUCUUGUUUCUGUGUAGUUGCCUAUGAGCACUGCUUGUGCUUCACGUAUCGUUUAUUCUUUAUUGUUUUGUGCGUAUCACUUAAAUAAAAUAUGUGGAACCCAGAUCACACUGCACAUUGGUCCGAGUAUACUUCCAGUUCGACGACGAGCGUGACAUUGGGUCAUCUGAUUGUCACCAGUGUUUGGAAUACAUUGAGCUCGUUGACAAAACAGACCAUAGGACGCCUUUUCACACUGAGAUUUAUUUGUCAAAGGUCCGCGGUGAUUUUAUGUAAACUAUGCGAUUUAUAUUGGAGACAGGUUUAUAUCAG
rnacentral:lncRNA from 1 species